rnacentral:lncRNA from 1 species
GUUUGCUAUUUUAUUUUCCGCUCCCAUUAUUCAUCCAGCCCCUCAAUACGUAUUUUUCUUACACAUGAACCCAGUACUAAAAAUACACAUCAGUUGAAGGUUCUGCCAAAAUACUUAGUGAAUGAGUAAUCCAACUUGCCUGAGACCAAAAGAAAUGUGGAGGUCCUGAAAUAAAUCCCUUUGAAAUGAAUGAACCAAUUUGUCUGGAACCUGACUUCAUGAAGACAUGGCAAGCGUGUGACUAUGUGGGAUAUAAAGUCACUGGGUCAGUCCAACACUGUGUGUACCUCAUGUCAGCCUUUAGGAUUUGACAUCUUUCCCCAAAUGCUACAAGUUCAGCCAGUGUUCUUAUGCACAGCACAAGCAUACUGUAACCCUGUUUUCUUUUUUAAAUUUCUUCAUAGCUCUAAUCUUUAUCUAGAAGAUUGUGUUUAUUUGUUUACUUCCUUAUGGUCUAUAUCCUCCCUCUGGCCUGUAACUCCAUAGAGGAAGAGUGGACUAUUGUGUGCUGUUUCCCACUGUGUCCCCAGCAAUAAAUCAGUGCCUCGCACAGGGUUUGAGCCACUGCUAGCACCUGAGGAUUCAACAGUGAUCCCCAUAAGCAUAGUCCCUGCCUUCAAGAAGCUUGUGAUUGGAUGGAGGAGAGAGACAAUAAACAGAUGAAGAAACUUGAGAUGUGGCUUUUCCAACAUCCAGAAGUGGUCCAUUUUGACUCCAAGUUCAAGUUCUUAGCUGCUACUGUGCUGUCCCCUUAGAAGAUAAAUCGUCUAGCUGCAUCUGAUUGCAUUAUCAUAUCAAAUCCUUUCUAUUGUGCAAAGAACCAAUUCUCCAAAUUGAGUGUCUUAAUACCACUCUCAGUCCACAAUCUAUAAAGCACACCUUUGAACUGUUGUAUACAUUUUCUUUACAAUGAACAAACAGAAAAAACAUUGAACUUUUCAUUCAACUGAUUGAAACAUUGACCUUCACAUGUUGCCUAACAUAACAAAUGAAGUUACACAAUCAUUUUAUAGCUCCAGUCCUAUCUCUGCUAUUAUAACCUCCAGCCUUUACAGGACUGUCCUGAUGUAAAACCCACAGGUCCUCUGGACCUCACACAGUUCUACAUUCACACAGCGCUCACCAUGUUUAUUAGGUACAUUCUCACCUGUCUCAGGGGUCCCAGGUGUCUUAGCUUCCCUGAAUGGAAAAAGACAUUCCUGCUUCAUUCUCUUUCUCUUUUUACAAAAACCACUACCCCCUCUGCCUACCUGCUCCUACGACCUCAUUCUUCUCAGGUUUGUGUGCUUCAAGAAGUGCAAAACUGGUGAACUGUGGUGAAAAUUCCACUGUUUUCCCAGAUCAGGUAGUGCCUACGACUUCACCGAGGGCUGAAGAAAAGGAUCAGCUUUAAAAGUCAGACCGUGUUCUCUUCUCUUCUCUGUUGUCUGCUUGGGCAUCCCCUGUUUUCUCACUAUCUGUAGACAGUGACUAGUCCUGAAAGUAAGGUUGUAGAAUGACCCACGCAAAGCUCUGCUUAGAAUAUCUGGAAUGGAAUCAGUUAUGUGUGAACUUCUGGUUUGCAAUCCAAUAACCCACUCUUCUUAAAUGUAUAUUUAUCCAAAACCACCCCUCCUCAGCACAGCAUUUACUGUAUCACUCAUGGGAUCACUCUCUCCCACUCACUGGGACUCAUUUGCCCAUCUGUAAAGUUAAAGGAGUAGAUUAAACCGUUUGUGACGUCACUUCCAGCUCUAAAGGUCUUUGAUUCUAAUCUAGGUUUCCAUUUUCCUACACUAGAGUUUCCUUCCUUCCAUCCAUUCAUCCACCCAUCCAUCCGCUUAUUCAUUCAUUCACAGAAAAAAAUGUAUAUAUGGAGUGCCUACUGUGUGCUAGAUAUUGUUCUAGGCAGAUUGAUUAAGUAAUAACUAGGACAGAUAACAUCUAUCCCCCAUGGGGGCAUAACCUUCUCUCUUACCUCUCCCCGCAAAUAAUUUGAAAGUGUAAAGAAAACCAGUGGUAGAGUUGUUCUAAC